CCUACGGGAGGCAGCAGUGGGGAAUAUUGCGCAAUGGGCGAAAGCCUGACGCAGCGACGCCGCGUGAGGGAUGAAGGUCUUCGGAUCGUAAACCUCUGUCAGCAGGGAAGAACGGUCACUGUGCUAAUCAGCAGUGAAUUGACGGUACCUGCAAAGGCAGCACCGGCUAACUCCGUGCCAGCAGCCGGGGUAGUACGGCGGGUGUGAGCGUUAAUCGGAAUUGCUGGGCGUAAAGCGCUCGUAGGCGGUAGGUCAAGUCAAGGGUGAAAUCCCCGGGCUCAACGUGGGAACUGCCUUUGAAACUGGCAAACUGGAGUGUGGGAGAGGAUAGUGGAAUUCCAGGUGUAGGAGUGAAAUCCGUAGAUAUCUGGAGGAACAUCAGUGGCGAAGGCGACUAGCUGGAACAUAACUGACGCUGAGGAGCGAAAGCGUGGGUAGCAAACAGGAUUAGAUACCCUAGUAGUC
rnacentral:rRNA from 1 species